rnacentral:rRNA from 1 species
AUUGAACGCUGGCGGCAGGCCUAACACAUGCAAGUCGAGCGGAUGACGGGAGCUUGCUCCCGGAUUCAGCGGCGGACGGGUGAGUAAUGCCUAGGAAUCUGCCUGGUAGUGGGGGACAACGUUUCGAAAGGAACGCUAAUACCGCAUACGUCCUACGGGAGAAAGCAGGGGACCUUCGGGCCUUGCGCUAUCAGAUGAGCCUAGGUCGGAUUAGCUAGUUGGUGAGGUAAUGGCUCACCAAGGCGACGAUCCGUAACUGGUCUGAGAGGAUGAUCAGUCACACUGGAACUGAGACACGGUCCAGACUCCUACGGGAGGCGGCAGUGGGGAAUAUUGGGCAAUGGGCGAAAGCCUGAUCCAGCCAUGCCGCGUGUGUGAAGAAGGUCUUCGGAUUGUAAAGCACUUUAAGUUGGGAGGAAGGGCAGUAAGCGAAUACCUUGCUGUUUUGACGUUACCGACAGAAUAAGCACCGGCUAACUCUGUGCCAGCAGCCGCGGUAAUAC